rnacentral:rRNA from 1 species
AGGGCCGCGGUAGCCUGACCGUGCGAAGGUAGCAUAAUCAUUUGUCUCUUAAUUGGGGGCUGGUAUGAAGGGUUGGAUGAGGGACCAACUGUCUUUUAAUUAAAUGCUGAAUUUUACUUUUAAGUUAGAAGGCUUAAAUUUAGUUAAGUGAAGAUAAGACCCUAUAAAACUUAUAUAGAGGGCUAGCCUCAAUCUUUCCUAAUAUGUUUAUGGGGGAGUGGUUAGUUCUAUAUUUUGUUGGGGCGACAAGAAUAGAACUCACAAUAUCUGUUACUUUUUAAUCAGUUAGAUAUUUUUAAAAGGUGAUCCUUUUUUAGGGAUUAUAAGAUUAAGUUACUUUAGGGAUAACAGCGUAAUUUUCUUUGAGAGACCAGAUCGACAAGAUUAGUUGCGACCUCGAUGUUGAAUUAAAAUUUUCUACCAGGGGCAGGAGUUUGGUAAGAUAAGUCUGUUCGACUUAUAAAAUUUU